GGAGCUUGACUGCGAGACCUACAAGUCGAGCAGGGUCGAAAGACGGACUUAGUGAUCCGGUGGUUCCGCAUGGAAGGGCCAUCGCUCAACGGAUAAAAGCUACCCCGGGGAUAACAGGCUUAUCUCCCCCAAGAGUUCACAUCGACGGGGAGGUUUGGCACCUCGAUGUCGGCUCAUCGCAUCCUGGGGCUGUAGUCGGUCCCAAGGGUUGGGCUGUUCGCCCAUUAAAGCGGUACGCGAGCUGGGUUCAGAACGUCGUGAGACAGUUCGGUCCCUAUCCGUCGUGGGCGUAGGAAAUUUGAGAGGAGCUGUCCUUAGUACGAGAGGACCGGGAUGGACAUACCUCUGGUGUACCAGUUGUCGUGCCAACGGCAUAGCUGGGUAGCUAUGUGUGGACGGGAUAAGUGCUGAAAGCAUCUAAGCAUGAAGCCCCCCUCAAGAUGAGAUUUCCCAACUUCGGUUAUAAGAUCCCUCAAAGAUGAUGAGGUUAAUAGGUUCGAGGUGGAAGCAUGGUGACAUGUGGAGCUGACGAAUACUAAUCGAUCGAAGACUUAAUCAA
rnacentral:rRNA from 1 species